UACAGAGGGGGCAAGCGUUAUUCGGAAUUAUUGGGCGUAAAGGGCGCGUAGGCGGCCUUGCAAGUGACGGGUGAAAUCCCUCGGCUUAACCGGGGAACUGCGUGUGAUACUGGAUGGCUUGAGUUUGGGAGAGGGAUGCGGAAUUCCAGGUGUAGCGGUGAAAUGCGUAGAUAUCUGGAGGAACACCGGUGGCGAAGGCGGCAUCCUGGACCAAUACUGACGCUGAGGAGCGAAAGCUAGGGGAGCAAACGGG
rnacentral:rRNA from 1 species